AAAUGUGUGUAUUUAAAAUUUCUCAAUUUGAAAACAACAAGGUGCAAAAUGAAAGCUAUAAGAUAACUUAAGAACAAAAAGAUUUACAACGGGGUUUGCAAGGCCCAAAAGUAAAAAAGAAAAGAAAAAACAUAAUAUCUAAAUUUUUUUGGGUGCGUUUAUUGUCACCUUACAAAUUAUUUUGCUCACCUCACAUGUUGUUGAUUUAUUGAAAGACAAAAAUACCCUGAUGUAAAAUUACAGUAGGGCACAAUAAGUUAUCACAAAUUACAAAUUGCAAGUUCGUUUUUCUUUUUUAUCUUUUUCUUUUGGCUGAACACGUACUUCAUAAACCAUAACCCAUAAUUUAUCAUAUUCGGUCAUUCUAUGGAGUCUGAAGACGCUAGCAUGUAACCUGAAGAUGAGGUGAUAAACUAUUUGUACUUUUUAUUUCUCUUGUUUUUUUUGUUGGUGCUUCGUUUAUCAUUUUACUCGAUUUUUUUUUUCUUCAGUUGGUGAUUUUACUUACCUCGAACUUAUACUUUUAGAACAAAUAAUAUUAAUGUUAUGGUUUACUUUUGUCACACCCCAAUUUUCGAAAGGAAAUUUUCAAAAAUUUUGACAUGAUAUAUCUUAAAAUAUUAUAAUCCCAUAACAUGUUUCAACAACAAACUUCAAAGGAACCUAAAAAUUUUGAUGCGGUAUCUCCCAUGACCUACACUGACAGAUGGACUAGAGCUCUAUUCCUAACCGCAACCAAUCACACGGCCAAAGGCUCGGAACCCGGUUUGACUGUAUAAUAUUAAACACAAAAAUGAUAAAUAGCAUCUUAACCGCAACCAAUCACCCAAUUAAGGGCUUGGAACCCGGUUUCGCUAUUAUUCAACAAUCAUAAUAUCACAACAUUAUCCUCAACAACACAAUAUCACAUCAUAAAUUAUAUCCUACCACAUGGAUAUAUUUACAUGAACAAUUACAGAUAUUCCACAAGAAUAAUCUAUCAAAAAUCAAUAAAAUUAUGAUCACAUGAAUCUCAAAAUAGCAUUUAAAGAAAACUUGUUUUAUCUUACCUAUGAACAGUUGACGAUCAAGCUCAUAUAUUUUUAAAAACAAUCAAAAACAUAUUAUUAAAUCAAACAUUAUCAUCAUUAUCAUCAUCACAUGACCAUAAUAACAUUCGGUUCAAAAGUGAACCUUAAUGAGAUUUACUCACCUAAUUAUCCUGCUGCAAAAUCCCCAACCUAACGAAGGCAAACCAAUCACAAAGUCACAAAUCACCUAAAAUCACACAAUUAAAAACUUUAGAAACCAAAGUAGUAAAGGAUAACACAAUACCCUUAAACUAACCCUUAGCUCAAGGGAGGACAACUUCCCAAAGUCGUUAAACUCAACGACACAAUAGAGCUGCCUCAACUCUUCAAAACCUAAACUCUAACCCAACCAAACCAACACCAAUAAACUUAAGUCCUAGCAUGCCAACAUUGCUUAAAAUCUAGCCACACUACCACUUAACAAACUCACAGCAGUAAGGACUAGCUAACCACAGAAAACUAAGGCCGCAACUCAGCCGGACGCGCCGCCACGCACCGCCACAGGCGGCUGCAAGUGGGCCCCACGCGCCACCCCAAACUUCCGAUUUAGGAGAAACUCACAACAACAAAGUUGAAGCUUGAAGCAAGGGGAACAACUUUCAUACCUAAGACUUCAACCAAUUUUGGCCGGAACCGGCCGGAAACUGCCUCGAAACCCUAAACCGAAAUCACACCUCAAACCUGCAAAACUGGUCUCAAAACCUCAAAAACUUGCCUCAAUCUAUGCCUAGACAAUAUCAGGAGGAGGAGGGGAUCAAGACUCACCCAAACUUGGCCAGAAUCAUCAUCGAAAUUGCCGGUUUUCCGGCGGGACAGCCGGCGGGACUGCUCCAGAAAUGGAGAGGGCAGCUGUGAGAGUCGAACGGGACCGGCGGUGUCCUGUUUGGUGGCCAGAAGAGAGAGAACUCGGUUGGAGAAGAGGGAGAGUUCGGGGAGCUCGGGUGGGAGGAGAGAGAAGAGGAAAAACUGAAAUUAGGGUUUCUAAUUAACACUCCCACACAUUUUUCUACUUAUACUCUUUCCAAACCCGGAAACAAACUUCCUUUGACCAUAACUUUCUCAUACGACAUCCGUUUUAGGCGUGCCGUAUGUCUACAAACUCGUAACGACAAACUCUACAACUUUCAAGAAGGAAGUUUUUGAAGAUAACUUACGAAAAAUAAAGUCAACUUUUGACCUCUUAAAAGUCAAAACAUCUUAAAUUAAACUCCCGAAACUUCAACUUUGCAUAAACCAAAGAAUUUUCAUAAAUAAUCCUUCAUUAAAUAUGGGAAUAAUACAAGAAAAAUUGAUAUGAAAAUCUAAGGUAUUACAACUUUAAUUUCUUUUUCUUUUUGGAGUUCAAUGUCUAUUGAAAUAGUCAGAUAUUGUGUGUAUUGCAAAUGAGUGAGAAGAGAAUGUAGGGUGAAUAAAGUAGAAUUGAGAAAAUUGUAUUUUAGGUAUUGUAAGUGGGCAAAGUAGACUUACAAUUAAAAAUAU
rnacentral:lncRNA from 1 species